rnacentral:rRNA from 1 species
GUCGCUGGCCUUCGGGCAUGUGCACGCUGACCGUGUUUCAACAAUUUCUCACCUGUGAACCUAAUGUAGGAUGCCUCUCCUCCGGGAGGGGGGACCUAUGUCUUCAUAUACAUCUUCGUGUAGAAAGUCUUAGAAUGUUUACUAUCAGAGAGUCGCGACUUCUAGGAGACGCGAAACUCUUGAGAUAAAAGUUAUUACAACUUUCAGCAAUGGAUCUCUUGGCUCUCGCAUCGAUGAAGAACGCAGCGAAAAGCGAUAUGUAAUGUGAAUUGCAGAUCUACAGUGAAUCAUCGAAUCUUUGAACGCACCUUGCGCUCCUCGGUGUUCCGAGGAGCAUGCCUGUUUGAGUGUCAGUAAAUUCUCAACCCCUCUUGAUUUUUUUUGAGGGAGUUUGGAUAGUGGGGGUUGCCGGAGACUAAUCUCGGGCUCUCCUGAAAUGCAUUGGCUUGCGAUAGACUUUCGACUUUGCGCGACAAGGCUUUCGGCGUGAUAAUGAUCGCCGUUCGCUGAAGCGCAUGAAUGAAGGUU